rnacentral:rRNA from 1 species
GAUGAACGCUGGCGGCGUGCCUAAUACAUGCAAGUCGAGCGAACAGACGAGGAGCUUGCUCCUCUGACGUUAGCGGCGGACGGGUGAGUAACACGUGGAUAACCUACCUAUAAGACUGGGAUAACUUCGGGAAACCGGAGCUAAUACCGGAUAAUAUAUUGAACCGCAUGGUUCAAUAGUGAAAGACGGUUUUGCUGUCACUUAUAGAUGGAUCCGCGCCGCAUUAGCUAGUUGGUAAGGUAACAGCUUACCAAGGCAACGAUGCGUAGCCGACCUGAGAGGGUGAUCGGCCACACUGGAACUGAGACACGGUCCAGACUCCUACGGGAGGCAGCAGUAGGGAAUCUUCCGCAAUGGGCGAAAGCCUGACGGAGCAACGCCGCGUGAGUGAUGAAGGUCUUCGGAUCGUAAAACUCUGUUAUUAGGGAAGAACAAAUGUGUAAGUAACUAUGCACGUCUUGACGGUACCUAAUCAGAAAGCCACGGCUAACUACGUG